GUGCCAGCCGCCGCGGUAAUACGGAGGGUGCGAGCGUUGUCCGGAUUUAUUGGGUUUAAAGGGUGCGUAGGCGGCCCUGCAAGCCGGCGGUGAAAUCCACGCGCUCAACGCGUGUCGUGCCGUCGGAACUGCAGGGCUCGAGUCCCGGAGGGGAAGGCGGAAUUUGUGGUGUAGCGGUGAAAUGCAUAGAUACCACAAGGAACCCCGGAGGCGAAGGCGGCCUUCUGGCCGGCGACUGACGCUGAUGCACGAAAGCGCGGGUAGCGAACGGGAUUAGAAACCCUUGUAGUCC
rnacentral:rRNA from 1 species